ensembl:lncRNA
GGAAACAAAAGCCUUACAGUAAUGAAAAACUCAAUACAAUACUUUUAUCUUUGUCAAAGAAAACAAACUUUGAGAAAUUGGAUGUUACAAAUAGAAUGUGGCCAUCAGCUGCUGGGGAAACUAUAAGACUCUACUGAGGCCAUGACUCGCUGAGUUCUCAGUAGCGUGCGCACUGUACCACAGGGACUAACAUGAACAUUGUACAAUACCAGAAGCACACAUACGCCACAACCACCACACUGAGAAACACACACAACAAAUGCAGAAAGAAAAGAGUCUUUUUAUUUAAAAAAAAAAAUUCCACAAAACAGACUGUUCAAGGUGGGAAAACACAGAAGAGCAACUCAAAAACAUUAUCAGGAUUGUUGUUUUCUUCCUUAAAAGUUAACACUGACUUUUCACAUAAAAACUGCCACAACCUUCUAUUACAUUUUAACAAUAUAUUAGAUUUGUUUAUAAUCUACUAAAAACGUCAAUAAAAACCUGUGAGCAACUGAAGCCUUUCCAACUAUUUUGACAAUAGUAUUUACAUUUACAUUUUUCAGUGCAUUUUUACAUUAAUUUUGCAUUUCAUUUUGAAAUGUUUAACACAAUACACAACAGUUACUGCUAAUUCAUAUGAUCGCUUUAAAAGACAUGGCAUUUCUCAAGACAACAAGUGCUAGGUUAGAACAGCCUGUUAUAAGGCACUGUCAAAAUUACGUUGACCUGAUCUAAAAGCAGCAAUACGGAGUUCUGUUCCAAAAACUAGUAAGCUAACUACCUAAAAGGCAUGCAAAAACCUUGCAAACACCACCAACAGCUGACACUGAUAGAAGCUUGCCAACACACUAAGGGCCUUUAACUGGUGUAUUUUGGCAGUUUAGCUGGCAAUGUCAUGCGUGUAUAAGCUUUUCUUCCAUUUUUGCAGGGUGUACCAGCCCGUUAAACAGAACUACAUAGGGCAUAUCCUGGAUGGCUAGUGGGGAAGACACAGGUGUUUAUCUGUCCUUCACAUGACCAUAUGCUAUCAAAAUGAAUUUGAGGAUGGUACCAAAACUAGUUGCCUAUAAAGCCAUAUCUCAAAAAGUGUCAAAUUGUUGCAUAGUGUUACUUCAAAUGACAUAUGUGACAUUUAUGAAACACAUGUUACACUUUUUUUUUAUGAUCGUGUAAGAAUAUUUCUGAGGUACUGUGGUAUGUGAGUAAUCCACGCUGUGGGCCCUUAGGGUUGUGAGCACACAGAGACACACACUGCAGCUUUUGCACUCUGUUGAAGGGUACUGUAUGGGUGGGCAUUGGGCACACUGGCACUGGGCAGACAGUGUAGUAGGGGGCAUAAACACAAACAUUUACAAAUGUAGUUUACAUUUACAUAUAACAUAUAACAUAUGCACAGGUCCGAGGUGUGAGGAAAUGGUGUGUGUUUGGUAAUGUUUUUCAGAUUUUUGAACAAGUACAAUUCUUCACCUCCCUGUGGAUCUUAUAGGCUGUGGUUAGUGUCUACAGAAAUGGUCCCAAAGGCUAAAUUACCAAAAAGCUGUUUUGGAAACCUGCAACAUUUACCCCUGACAAAGUUGUUCAGUAUUAGGCUUUUCUGACAGACAAUAGGCACAGAAACUUAUUAGGCACAGGACACAGAUUAAUAAUGGCCAGAACUAAAUCUGCAAGCAUUGUGUGGUGUAACAGGCCAAUGGAAAAGUUCUAAAUAAAGCAUGCCUUCAAAGAACAUAAAACAAAAAAAGUAUCAAAUUAAGAUAACAUAACUAUUUUUCUUGACAAAUAUACCAGAUAGAUGAUAGAUAAUGAUAGAUCUGUCAUUGAUGAUAGAUGAUAAUGAUAGAUCUGUCAUUCAGGGUGCAUCUAAACAGGGUGUAAUAUUCUUCCUAAUCACAGACCACCUCAACACAAUCCCUCCAGCAGUGGAAGGAGAAGUAGCAACGGUUGCAAUUAAGAGGUUUCACACCUGUCUGACAUGUCUUCAUUGUUUGAGGUCCAGUGUUGAAAAGUGGGACCACUCUGAUUUCUAGUACAGGACGGGAAGACGGUGGUAGUGGUGUUCGUAGUGGACGUGCUGAAAGAGGUGGUGAAGUUGGUGAAGUUGGUGAAGUCGGUGAAGUCGGUGAAGUCCUUGAAAAAGUCACCCAUGUUAUUGAACUGGAACUGGGGCUGGGGCUGGGGCUGGGGCUGGGGCGAAGACUCAACAGAUGAGGGAGGAGAAGGGGCUGAUGGGAUAGUUUCAAAUGAGAGUCAGGUGAUGGUUCUGUUAGUGACAAAUACCACUAAUAUUAUUAUUUGAAUCAUCAAAUGAUGGUUAUUAAUAGAAAACAGGAAGUGUGAAAAUAUAUGAAGGGCAAUCCUCACACUACUACAAACAUUAUUUAUGUUGUUUAAUUUUUAUGGAGGUGGCUGAUCUUUUCAGGGUUUGAUCUUUCUGGCUGGGGAGGAGAGGCAUCUUUGAUCACUGUGAAUAAAUAUCCAUUCACCCCACAUUUCCAUCACUCGAAAGACAGACCAUCAGUCAAUCUAUUCUGACCCACAGUUCAUUGAGACUGUCCUUCACAAAUACUUCCAAACGUGUCACGGCAUUGCCAAUUAAAGGUUGCAACUGUGUGUGUUUCUCCAUGUUUACCUCUGUUCCUAGUGUUGCCACAUGAACCACAAGGUAAUAGGAGUUAUAAGUAAAACACAUACCGUGUCAGAAGGACGGUGAGCCCCUGUCUCGUUGGUUGGCUCAGGCUGACUCACCUCUAUUCCACUAUAGGGCUAAACACACAACCACAUCAAAGGUCAGCAAUAACAGAAUGAGAAAAUGAUAAAACCAUACAAAAUAUACCACCGUAUAAUGAACAGGCAUUAAUGACAAAUACAAGUUCAAGUUAAACAACAAAAAAGCACACCUGCAUGGCACUGGCGAGCCGUAGCUGCUGGGGCAGAGGGGGUGCGGCUUUUGCCUUUGUUACAGCAGCACUUCCACACACACACGCCGAGCAGUAUGAGGAGCACUACAGGGAUCAGUGCCAAAAGAUACAUGUAGUAGGUCUGCUCUGUAGGCAGAAAAAUGGACAGAGAGAGAGAGAGAGAGAGAGAGAGAGAGAGAGAGGUAAAUACCAACAAACACUCAAAAUGAACAAACUCAAUACAUCAACAUUCAGUACCAACACUUAUAUGGGACGGAAGAAGUGAAAGCUACACAUGUGAGAACACAGGAAGUAGGCCACUGCUACGGGAAACAUACGGUAUGUACGUAGAAUCCUCAGAGCAACCAGAAUUCCAUCCUUGUCAAAAAACUGGUAUCUGCCUGCAUCACUCCUCUGUAUAUCAUCCAGCUCGAGGAUGAAUGCAUUCGGGCUGCCUCGCAACCGAAUCCGAUCCUCAAAGAGCCGUUUUCCCUCGUCCGUUUGUGUCCCUCCGCUAACAAUCCGGUAUUCCUCGCCUGGUUGUGGACUGAAAACCACCGAUAUUUCAUGGUCAGGGAUCUGAAGAUUGGUUCCCCAGAUGCCACUUCCAUACAGUUCCUCAUCCAUAUUGAAAGCCUGAACAUUGGCUGAAGUGAGAAUGUAGAGAAAGGAGAGAAAGAAAGAUAAAGGAAAGGAAAAAAUAUUCACAUUCUUUUAUGAGGGUCACACCAAAGAAAUUACCAUUACUACUAUUACCAAUACGAAUAUUACUACUAUUGCUACUAUUACUACCACUACCUUACUUCUCCUGGUCCCUUUUCCUCACCUGUAAUGGUCACCUGUGUUUUCGAGACCUCUGCCCCACUUUGUUUCCGGAAAGUGUAAGAACCCAUGUCAGCGGUGGUUGCCGCACGAACCAUCCAGUAGGACUCCUGAAUAACACCCUUGGAAACAUCGUCAUAGGAACUGGAGGUGUUCCAUAGAACCUCCCCUCUAUUCGGGGAAGAUGGAUGGACAAACUCUAGGAUGGAUGCCUCGUGGGGAACCUUCAAUUUCAAAGGUUGUCCGAAGCCAACCACCUGUGGCAUAGUACAGUCUAAGAGGGAAAAAAAGUGUGUAACAGAAAUCCACAUAUAUGAGCAAUAAAACAGCUUACAGGAUGAGAUCAAGUAAGACAAAUUGAACAUACUGCGCACAAAUUCAACGGCUCCAAUUCAUAUGAAGCAUAUAUUAUUUAAGGAGUCAAGUAGGCUGUGUCACAAUAAGCUUAAUUUGUAUAGCUACUGAUGGACUGCCAUAUAGUUCACCUCACCUUUAAUCACAAGUUUGAGGACCGUGUGAAAAUUCACGUCAACCCCCCAAGAGAAAAUCCCUGUGUCUGUCUCCCGUAAUUCGGAAAUGAAGAGCGUCUGAUCCUUGAACUUGUAAUGAUCGUCUGUCGGCUGAGUUAAAGCACAAGUGUCAACAUGUUGCUAAGAAGACAACAAGCAACCUGUCUCAACUCCUAUAGGCCUACCCAUUCACAAACUUCUUACUUGUGACUUGUAAGAUCUCAUUUGAAUAAACGUACAAUGACUUGUACAAAUUAAUGUAUAUUUGUAAAUAUAUACUUUAUAAUUUGUAAAUAUAAAUCAUACUCUACCUGUGCAUUUGUCAUAAAAUGUAAGUUGUAAAUAUGUAGUUCUGCGUGUAAAGUGUUGAAUCGCCAAGUACCAUAAGAUCCACAAAAUCCAUAAGUGCAGCACUUUUAUCUGUAUGGCUUUACAAACAUUAGAUAAAUGUUCAAUUUGUUGACACUUGCCAGGAUCCAUUUCAGCUUUGUGGAAGUUUGUUGACGCUCGCUGUAACAUUAACUUAUCCUCAACCAAGAACAUCAAAGAGCAAUUAUUGUUGCUUAAGGUAGCCUACUACAUACUCUACGGCCUGAAUCAAACAAGACUGACAUCUAGAGGUCGCUCCAUCGCCUUUGUGUGAAGGGGGAGACACAUUUGUGUGGAUCGCAAGAAAGUACAAAUAAUUCUCAAAAUUCUCAAAAUGAAGUCAGUCGAAACUGGCAUGAAUGCGUGAAUGGAUCUAUAACUCGUUGGAUAUUUGUGGAUCAUGGUACAAUAAUUGAAUUUGAGAAUAAUUAUUUGAGACAUUAGCCCCUCCACUAAACACACACGCGCGCAAAAACACGCACACUCGCACAGACAUAUCUUACCUGCGUUUUGUUGAGAACCAUUACAGCCUUGGCUGAAGGAGACUGUGGUGUGAAAUAUAGAUCUGACAUUUCGGGAUCAUAUGCAAGUGAACGGGGUAUGUAGAAUGACGUUCCAGGGCACAUCCCAUAUAUUUGCUUGGAAGCAGCUGGAGAGCAAAACAAUUCUCAAUCACAAAUGGUCUCCAACAGGUCAUUCCUACACAUAAAGUCAUACUGAGAAAGAAAGAUGUCUACUAACCGACACAGGUCACAAUGCAAAGGAAGUGGAACAACCCAAACAUCUGUAAAACAUCAACAGCAAAACACCAGAGAAAGUCGUAAGGACCAUGCAAAGUUCGUUUUAGGAACCAUGUUAUGCGGAACUAGGAAAUGGCUUUCGAUUACCGUUUGCACACACAUGCCGAUCGAAAAGAGUGUACUUACGAUUGUAGAGUUAUCUGAAGGUAUUAUGUUACAGAUAUUUCUAGUUUCAGAUGGGAGUCUUGUUGUCACCUAUGUGGAUCUCACCAUGUUGGAAACAUAGGACAACCAUGCAUACUCCGUCCCCUCAACCAAAUGGGAGGAGUGUAGUGUCUCUACUCUGCUAUAUUCCGGUUUCCGCUAAGGACACAGCAGUUCGGGAGCAACUAAUGUGCUGUGGUGAGGGCAAUGUUUGGGCAAGCUAAAGGCUAGAUUAAUGAUAGCUAGCAGCCAAGAUGGUGAAAAUAAAUGGUAUAGAGACGUUGCUCAUGUGACUGCGGGUGGUCAGGGCGAUAUUAAAACGAUUUUUCUCAAGAACGAGGGCGUGGUUUGUUGGUGUACUGACUGACGUGAGUUCCAGUUGAUAACAACCUUUUCCAGCAUGGACUCGAUGCACCUAACACACGUCUGAAGUGCACUUGAAUUGUGUGUAUACUCCAAGCAAACAAAACUAACCAUGAUGUACCGCUUGUUUUCCGCCUUGGGUGUUCUAUUCGGAAUGGCCUCAGCGGGGGUCUUUUAUGGCUUAGGGCCAGAGCCAAAGACGAUAUGUCCUGGGAUGCCAUUCACUUUUACACGGACAUAUAAGAUAAGAGCAGACUUGAUGUACUACAAGAACGGGGUUGAGAGGAAGGUUGCCACUACCAAGGAGAUUAUAGACUCCCAGUUUCGGUUCAAUGGCAGUGAACCUUAUAUACCCGAGGUAAUGAAAGUGCAUGAAGGGGGUUAUUAUUGGAAGGCUUUCUCUACCGAUUUUAAACUGGAUCACAUCACACUAAUUCUGAAAGACUGCAGUGUUCGUCAAAAUGUGGUGUACGGUGAGGAGUUGGCCUUAAAUGUGCCGGCGGACGCGUCUGUGUUGGAGUUCACCCCUCACCUCUCAGACCAACACUCCGUCCUGUGGAGACGGAUACACAGAGGGGGGGACGAGGAAGCAAGGGGCGCGGUUAAGGACGGCCGCUGGACAGCACAGAGGAUGACCCAAGCGGAUCAGGGGCGCUACACUUUACUCAGGGAGAGUGGUGGCCAGAUCUCCAGCACUGUGGUCUCUGUUGAAGGUAAGACCAAUGAAGCGCGUGCUGAGAAUAUGGGACAGAUGAUUGCCAGAAUAGUAAAAGAAGACAAGGUGUUGCCAUAUUUCUCUGUAAGUAACUUCUACUUCUGGUUUAUAUGAGUUGAGAUAACUUUCAAAAACCUUGAGAUUCACAAAUAGGACUGAUUUGCGAAUAUCACAAAUAUGAUUGAAAUAUUUGUGCCAUCACUUGUCUUCAUUGAUUAGAGGAAAACUAUGCCACAUAUACUAUAUGCCGUUUGACAUGUUUAAUGAGAUACAGGAAUUGUUUUGCUUUGAAGAGUACAUUUUAGCGCCUCCCUUUUUCAAGCAUGUUCACCUCAAUUUCACAUUUGUUUAUGAUUUCCUACACUUCCCAGAAUGCAUUUCAACCACUACUAGCUAACAAUUGCAAUUGCUGAUUUGUCUGUUGUAGCCUGGUUGCAGUUUCAUUUAGUCUUCUUUAGUUGGAUUAUUCUGAGUAUGAUUAUUAAAUGUUGCCUCAAAAAAGUGUUGGAAAAGAGAAGCCCUUGCAUUUCUCUUUCAUGGUUAUAACACCACAACAGUGGCUACCAUUUUCGAUUGUGUCGGAAAAAACAUCUUCUAAAUUCAUUGUAGCCGGAAAGGACAUGUCCUUUAGUGGCAUCACUAUGGUUACUCAUGUCCCAUGCGGCUCCAUCUGCAGUGUGUGUUCUAGAAACACGGUAGGUAAAUCCGGGACUCCUUUACCACUCCUAUGAGAGGCUUUAGUGUAGCGGUAGUCUGGUGGGAGACAGACAUGACUUCAUGAUCAGCACCUCAUGAUGAGCGAGUUCACAAUCUGGAGACAAUUUACACACCUAAACUGUGGACACACUGUCAAAAAGUAGGCUAUUAAAGAGGUGAGCUCAGUGGACAUUUAAAAAAUAUUUCAAAAUUGUUGUCUUCUUCUUCUUCGGUGAUCUUACCUGUUUUAUGCCCCUUUGAUUGUGUGGUCUAUUAAAUACGAUUUCAAUUUUGUAUUAUGUAUUAAAGCACUUUGAGCUGCAUUCUUCGCAUGAAAAGUGCUAUAUAAAUAAAGUGUUUCUCACUUAUUUACAGUAUUUUGUAACCAAGAUAUGUUUCCCUUCUGUCUUGUUUGUUUUUCUCCCUGCAACUUCAGAACUCCAAAUACAUGCUCACGUGGCUGAUGACGACGUCAGAGAUCACUGGAGAACUGAUGUUAAUAUCUCUGCACGGGAGGCUGUAGUCACUUACUUUACGGCUUUCGGGGGUGAGCAUGUGCUCUUCCGAGACGGCAUGGAGACUGAUGAGGGCUUCGACAUUUUUGGAAAUCGUAUCACACUCCAAAAGUCAACGCUCCAAAAGUCAACUUUCAGCAUCAGCAAAGCGCAGCCAAGUGACGCAGGACGAUACGAGAUCCAUGACAAGAAUGGACAUCUGGCCAUCUCACUGUAUCUGGAGAGAGACCCUGAGUUUGAUCUUAAGAGUUUAGCCACUCCCCUUGGCAUAUCUGCGGGCGUGCUGGCAGGACUGCUGUGCUGUUGCUGGUGCUGUUGCAAGUGCUGUAGUGAUGACGACGGUGACAAGACUGAGUCCGCCGCUGCUUCUCCAGACACCGAGCAACUCGCCCACGUCCAUGUAAGCGUAUCUACGUUGGCCAACUUUUGGGGUAGAUUCAGAAGGGGAAAGUCUUAGGGUUAGGGUCCUCUGCAACAUCUGUCGGCCAAGGAUAGAUGUGGGAUCGGUAUUAAAACCGGAAGUGACAAUGUAAUUCCGACAAGUGAUCACACCCGUUGUGUAAAAUAUGCGAAUGUCAGCACAUUUGAUUCUUAAAGAAAAGCCUUUGGUAACAGCAAGUAACGAACUAGUCAGUUGGCGAGCCACUGGAUAGCUAACAAGCUAGCUAAACCUAGAGUUUGGGGUGAUGUGCUCUGAGUGCAAAAACAAGAUGCAGACUAUCAAAUUAAUUUUUACACAUGUAAAUAAUUAUAAAGACUUCUUAUCAGUGCUAUUGAGUACACCACAUACCGCAGCAAAUUACAAAUGCAUACAUUAAACAAAAAUGAAGUACUCACUCCCGGUUUUAAUACCCAUCCCAUGGAAAUACGGAUCCUUGGCCGACAGCCUGAACGAAGUUCAGUUCUUUUGAGUUAAUGUAGGGCCUUUGUGUUUUGACAGCAUCAGAAAAUGUUGUGGCAUUUAUUCCUCUGCAGCAUCCUCAUAGCUCACUGUCACUCCACAACAGAAGGGUAGGGUCAUACUUAGAGUAGAGUUGAUUCACAGUUACAAGUAGGACCAAGGUUGAGGAUUCAAAUGACUGAAUUAAUUAAUUAAUGAAUGAGUGAACUAAAUUGCCAUUAGGGAAUUUGUCCUCUACACAGCACAACCCAUUAAGGCUUUACAGGUUAAACAAUAUGCAACACAAUACAGAAAAGACAGCUAUGUUCCUGUUUUUUUCUUACCAAGUUUCCAUUUUGUAACAGGAUCCCAGUGAGAUGUCUGGACCCGGCGACCCCUUGCAACCUCCAUCAUCUGCUCCCUCUUCAGGUGACACCAAUGAACUAACGGCCUCCAUGGCGUACCCCCCCAACCCCUGGGAGAACAGUCCACCUCCUUACUUUCCUGACCCAGCGUCAAGGCCACACAGCAUAGUGGUCCCCGUGGAGCCACGCGUCCCUGAGUGGGUUCCCAGCGUCCCUGAGUGUGUUCCCAGCGUCCCUGAGUGUGUUCCCAGCGUCCCUAAGUGUGUUCCCAGCGUCCCUGAGUGUGUUCCCAGUCCGUACAGUUCAGCAGCUCCCACUGCUCCUCCUGAGGCUCCUGAUGGAGGAGGAGGAGGUGAUCGUGGUGCUCCCACCGCCCCUUCUGCACCCCCCGACCCUGGGCCGCAGUACCAGUCGAGAGCCUGGGGUAGUGGCCAGGAUGACUUUCUCUCCAGCUCUCCUCUCUGCAUGGACAGCGCCACCGACAGCUGCACCUUCACCUCAAACAAUCUCAACUUCUAGACCGAUGCGUUCCGUUGACAACUCGGGAUCGAUGGAGCAUUUUCACACGCAGUGCACUGUGACUUGUGUUGCGUCCUACUGACUGGUACGCUGUGAUUUGGUAGUUUCACGCUCAAAGACAACGCGCACUACCUCAUUUGCACUGGGCCUGUUCUGCUGCAGUGCUGGAGUGGAUCUGUCAAUACCACAGACUCUCACGCCAUCCAAAGGGCCACCUUCUUUCUUUGACCUGUUUCUCUGUGUCUAAUGUCUGUGAGUCUGUUCGUGUCUGCUAGUGUCUUAUGUCCCUAUCUCAUGUAAGUAGGCCAUUUCAUGUAUCCUUUUCUUAGCUUGCUAGAAUUGGUAGCAAUGCAAGUCUGUGUUAUUUUACAUAUUUAUCACACAGGAUUGUAAUGUUCUUACUGCCUGAUCAGGUCCAAUCUCAUUCACAAGCCUUGGUGUUUUUUUGUGUCUUUUUAUGUAUGCGAUUUUAUCUCACUUUGUUGUAACUUUAUAAUGGUGGAUAAUGAAAAGACAUUUUCAGUCCCAAACGUGCUCUAAAUGCCCAUGUAAGGCCUCCAGUAUCCAAAAGUGGCCUUAUCCUAUCUCAGUGCAAUUAAUCAUGUUGUUGUUUAUUUCUGUUUACACUGUAACACCCUGAAACCAUUACUAUGUUUACAAAUGACUAUUUAACACUUUAACACAAAGUAACAGUCUGGGGCGGUCAACUCAUUUUGAAUGAUAUUAUACUGUCUAGGUUUGGUGUACACCCUGAUUAAAAAGAUGACCCCCCCCCCCCACCACCAUCACCAAAUGUCAUGUCAUUACAUAAUUCACUCUGCCUGAAAUCUUUCCACAUGUAUUUAGAUGUAAGCCAUUAUGUGAAAGUGCCACAAAUUACAGCCAUGUUUAGAUAUUGGUAGGUUUCACGUACAAGCCAUAUAAAUUGAUCCCCUCAUGUAGUCUCAGAUACCAUUAGACUUGAUUGUUGGCUUUUGUCUACAGCCACAACAAGAUGUUUGGAGCCAGGCAUAUUAGCAUUUUGAUUGCCAUGGUCAAGCUAGACCCCCACCUGCCUGGCAUUCACACACCCCUAUACCCCUUUCCUUACAUGCCCCUACCUCACACCUUGAACUAGGACAUACCCACCCCCUCUCCUUAUUCUUUACACCUAACACAGAACUUCCUCCCCAGACCUGUAGGUAAUCGUUUAUGCCAUUUUUUAGUAUGUUAAUUAUGUAGUCCUAUAAGGGAUAAAUUUUUUUUUUUAACAAACAAACAAACAAGGCUGACUCACGUAAGUUUUUUUAUUGCACAAGCGACACACACGUGGUUAUGGAGAAGACACAGGACACACACACACACGCAGGCCUCAGGUCACUGUGAAUGUAAUCUCUGCAUUUAACCCAUCCCGGACUGUCUUUCCUCCAGGACCCCAGGAGCAGUGGGCAGCUUUUCAGCGCCCGGGGACCAAGUGAACCGUCUGUCUUGGUCAGGACGGACAGGAGAGUGUUCUGUUCUUUUUGCAUGUUUUUCUGUUGGGGUUCUUAGUGGAGGAAACCCCUUGUGAACACGUGGAGAACAUGCAAACUCCACACAUAAUUAUGUUACCAUUCAUAACAGGGCGGCAAAGACAGUGGAAGAUAACCGCUAACUUGUAACUUGUUGCUGUGAGUUAGAAAUUCCGAGGCUAAAACUUUGUUGGAAUAAACAGAU